CCCCCGCGCCGAGCCCGGUCCCGCGCCUCCCCUCAGGGCAGCUCCGUGCUCUGGACGGCGCAGUCAUCCCCGACCGGCUCCGCUGCCGCCCUCUACGCCUGAUCUCCUUGCGCAAGACGAUCCCGCCGACAUCCCGCCCGCCAGCGUCACGGACGGCCGCGUGGCCUGUCCCAUGCUACCGGCACCCGCAACUGCUGGAAGAAGGAGCCACUUUGCAACCUCUCUGGGCUGUUGUAGCUGGGGAAUCCUUCUAGAUAAACCCACCAAGAGCCCUUCUGCAUUAAAGGUCGGACAGGCAAGAGCCCUUCCAACCGCCGGCUGGGACGAGGGGAAAUCCUUGAGGGUCAGGUGUAAGAGUGGAGGGGUGGGCGAACACCAUGGCCUCCUGAAGCCCAUAGGGACAAGAUGGGGCACGUCGCGGUGGGUGAGCCCUCUUGGUUCUUUAAAAGUUUUCAACUCUUAGGAAGUAAGGGGGGGGCUGCUUUCAUCAGCUGUGAAUCUGGGAAGCACCACAGGCUAGCACAUAAAAACAAGAGUCUGCCUCCAGACCCUGAUAUUGCAAGUGACUCCAUAUGGACAAGUCCUUGCAUCACACCAGGCCUUGCUUUAUCUGCUUGCAUAACCAGGUGUAAUAAUUUCUGUCUCCUGAGGGCUUUGCGAAGCUUAAUUUGUUAAUGUUUGUGAGGUGCUCGGCAAUCAGAAAAGCAAAAUAUCAUCAUCAGAUGCAACUCAUUUUACCAGAGUGACACUGAAAGAAUCCAAGAUGCAGUCACCACCUUCCACUGCUUUUGUUUUGUUUCUGCUUUUAGGCAAUUGGUCUGCACAGACUUAAGCUGACAGGCAGCUAAAUAUUUGGUCAUCAUCUGGUACACAUCAGUAGAUGCUUGCUGAAACCCAGGGGCUCUGCUGACUUAUAUCAGCUAAAGAUCAGGCUGUCUAUACUGUAGACGGAGCUCACUAUUUUAUGAUGCUUUCAGCUAUUUCGAUUGCUCUUAAUGAAUGUUACCCAGCAGCGCUUUCAAACUUCCUGACAAAAUCAUCACUUGUGAGCAGUGGAGUGUGAUCAAAGCAAGGAGGGAAACGGAAUACAAAUCCAGGCCAGUGAUUCAGUUUCUAACUGAAAUAAACUGAAGAGCUUUUCAAACCAGGAUUAAAUUCAGCCUCUGCCUGGAUGUUGCUCCCCUGGUCAAUGGGAGCUCUUGCUUUUGAAAGUUGGUGGAACCAGGAUUGCGUUUCUCAAGUCUGGGAUUCUGGGCUUCCUCUGUCCAGCUAACGUUGGCUCUCAGGGCAUCACCUAGAGGAGGAGGAGGAAUCUGAGGCUCCGUUGUCAUGUUUUAAUGUCUCCCCAUAUGUUGCCAGUCCCUGAAGGUGGGAAAGAGAGGUCAAGGACAAGGACUGAAAAUCAAGACUCCCGGUCCUUGUCCUUAUCUUUCCUACUACUGACUCCUUCCUACCACUGACUUCCCACCACUGACUCCUUCGCUGAUUUCAAGCAAGUCACUUCACCCCGGCCUCAGUUUCCCCAUCCUAAAGAAUUCCAACUUUGGAAGGGGUGUUGAGAUCCUCAGACAAUAGUCCCUGUACACAGGCAUCAUUUGGUUAAUUAUUAAUAAUUCAGUAUUUAGCUUCAACCCUUAGGCUGACUGUGUGCUGUGACCACUGCCUGUCAUGCUAACCAGGAGGGUCUCUGUCUCCCUGUGCUCCCCUGUCUGUCUGUCUCCCUUGUCUAUCUAUUUGGUGUUACAUUUAGAUUACAAGUUCUUUGAGCCAGGAGCUAUCUCUGAUCUGUGUUUGUACCAUGCUUGGCGCAGCAGGGUCCAUGCCUGGUGCUACCACGAGAAGGAAAAGAAUGAUGACAAAAUA